rnacentral:lncRNA from 1 species
AUGUAUCCUCUUUGCUUGGUGGUGAAAGUCAUUGUUGCAAGGAAUGGGAUAGAAUCCUUUACCAUUCCAUUGCUGGAGGAAACCCACUUUGGGCGGAUUCAGGCGAGGAUGGACGGAUGGGAGAGAACACAAAGACGCCCAAUGUUGGCUGAGGAUAAAGUUGUGAUGCUAUGGUAAAUGCUCUUGCUUUAAAAUAACUGGGUCACCUGUUAAUGAAAACCACGCUGGUAGAGCUGGUGAGCCUGAGAAGUGGACUCAUGAUAGCAGCUGCCUUCUGAGGGCCCCCACCUGAAAUGGUGAGUGUACGUUGGGGGAGCAGGCUUGAAGAGUGCUGGCUACACCAGUAUUCCCUACAAUAACUUUUUUUUUUCCUCUAGGCAAAUAGGGUUAAGUGACUUGCUCAGCUAGGAAGUGUCCAAGACUAGAUUUGAACCCUGAUCCUCCCAAAUCCAGGUCUAGCUCUCAAUCCAAUGAGCCAUCUAGCUACCCUCCUACAAUAACUUUAUAAAGGUUUCCUACUCAAUUAUAAUUUCUCUAAUGGAGGUUAGAGAAGAUGCUUCAUGGGGCAAAAACCACAACUGCUAUAAACAUCAUUUCCCUGAGAUUCCCCAGUGUAGACAAUUUAGGGCUAGAGAGCCAUUUUUUACAGUAUUCCUUCACUGAAUAUCUCCACUGAUUGUUUUAUUAAAGAAGAUAAAUGAAUUCAGGAAAACCAAACUUCUCCACUAGCAAAAUUUUCCUUUCCCUACACUGAAUCUGCAGCUGUACUAAAUAAUUAAAUUUGGAAUGAUCCAUUGAGCAAUCACCCCAAACCCAUUCACUGGAAACCCUGGGGAUAGAAUUCCUUCCCUCUGGCACAUUGACUAGAAAUGACCUGCAGUAUUAUCAUCUCAUUCAUCUUCAAGCAAUGCAGUAUUCAAGAAAAUGUCUCUCUAAAGACACCCCAGUGUAGGCGGAAGAGCACUGAAGUCAGCUGAAUCAAAAGGCUGGGUUUGAACCUUGGCUUUGCCUUUUACCAGCUUUGUAACCUCAAGGAACUCAUGUUGGCUUCCAUCACGAUAUCCUACAUGAUGCAGGGAGGGUGGGGAGAGGUUAGAAUGCUAGUGGAUGGGACCUAUUAAGUAGAUAAGAAGAAAAGUAAAU